UACGGGAGGCAGCAGUAGGGAAUCUUCCGCAAUGGACGAAAGUCUGACGGAGCAACGCCGCGUGAACGAAGAAGGCCUUCGGGUCGUAAAGUUCUGUCGUUAGGGAAGAACAAGUACCAGAGUAACUGCUGGUACCUUGACGGUACCUAACCAGAAAGCCACGGCUAACUACGUGCCAGCAGCCGCGGUAAUACGUAGGUGGCAAGCGUUGUCCGGAAUUAUUGGGCGUAAAGCGCGCGCAGGUGGUUCCUUAAGUCUGAUGUGAAAGCCCACGGCUCAACCGUGGAGGGUCAUUGGAAACUGGGGAACUUGAGUGCAGAAGAGGAAAGUGGAAUUCCAAGUGUAGCGGUGAAAUGCGUAGAGAUUUGGAGGAACACCAGUGGCGAAGGCGACUUUCUGGUCUGUAACUGACACUGAGGCGCGAAAGCGUGGGGAGCAAACAGGAUUAGAUACCCUGGUAGUCCACGCCGUAAACGAUGAGUGCUAAGUGUUAGAGGGUUUCCGCCCUUUAGUGCUGCAGCU
rnacentral:rRNA from 2 species